rnacentral:rRNA from 1 species
UACGUAGGGGGCAAGCGUUAUCCGGAUUUACUGGGUGUAAAGGGAGCGCAGACGGCAAUGCAAGUCUGAAGUGAAAGCUCGCGGCUCAACCGCGGAACUGCUUUGGAAACUGUAUAGCUUGAGUACCGGAGGGGUGAGCGGAAUUCCUAGUGUAGCGGUGAAAUGCGUAGAUAUUAGGAGGAACACCGGUGGCGAAGGCGGCUCACUGGACGGUAACUGACGUUGAGGCUCGAAAGCGUGGGGAG